rnacentral:rRNA from 1 species
UACCAGCACCCCGAGUGGUCGGGACGUUUAUUGGGCCUAAAGCAUCCGUAGCCGGUUCUGCAAGUCUUCCGUUAAAUCCACCUGCUUAACAGAUGGGCCGCGGAAGAUACUAUAGAGCUAGGAGGCGGGAGAGGCAAGCGGUACUCGAUGGGUAGGGGUAAAAUCCGUUGAUCCAUUGAAGACCACCAGUGGCGAAGGCGGCCUGCUGGGCGGCGACUGACGCUGAGGCGCGACAGCGUGGGGAGCAAACAGG